CUCGAACAAGGCCCUUCCAAUAAUUGAACUCGGCCCGUUUAGUUAGAAAGCAAUCAUACGAUAAGCCAGCUUAAAGACAAAAAUAGAGUUCCCGAUUAUAUAUAAGAAUAAAAAGAGACCGAAGACGAGGAAAAGCUUUCACAAACUUACUCUUCACGGCACAAAAGCUAGAGUUUUCACUAUUAUCAUUGUUAUUGCCGAAUUGAUCAUCUUUUCAUAUAAACUCAGUCUUUUCUCUUGUAAUUCGUCUCUUGAUCAAUCAAUAAACAUUUUUGAAAUAAUCCAACAUCAAAUUCGUAUACACAUCUAGUACAUCCCAAUUCAGAUUAAACGAUUGGUGCUGGGUGGAGAAUUAAAAACCAAUGCCAAUAAAGAUCAAACAUGAGUGGAGACGAUCUUACCGGCAUAGGGAGAACCAUGCUGACUACAUAUAUCGCCACCAUGAUGGAGAUGAUGAAACCACGAUGGAGUGUCUUCCUCAACAAGACGCGUAAACAAAGCGACAAACGAGCACCUUAGUGUCAAUGAACCACCAACCGCGAGGACGCUGAUAAUGUGACAGCAAGAAGACAGCUCUUUCUCACCAAUCAGGGACCAAAUCAUGCAACAAACCACUAGAUCCCCGUUCUUCGAACCACGAUGCAUGAUAUCACUUCAAAUAUCCAUAGAGUAACAAGUUUGGCACCUUCAUGCAUGUCCUUGCUGUAACCAUAAAAACUUCAUUCGCAAAGGAAAUCACCGACAUUAAGAUCCAUCAUACGAACAAGCAAAGGAUCCCAUUCGUCUUAGGAGAUCAUUUGAAUACGUUCAAUAUAGCCAUGGAACGAGCACACUUUGCAGACGAGGAGAAGGAUGCCAGAUACUGUCAACUGUUUGUAGUCUCAACAGACCGGCUAUGACCUGGUUCUCCAGAAUGUCUAAGGA
rnacentral:lncRNA from 1 species